rnacentral:rRNA from 1 species
UACGGAGGAUGCAAGCGUUAUCCGGAAUGAUUGGGCGUAAAGCGUCCGCAGGUGGCUGUGUAAGUCUGCUGUUAAAUAGUGAGGCUCAACCUCAUAAAGGCAGUGGAAACUACACGGCUAGAGUGCGUUCGGGGCAGAGGGAAUUCCUGGUGUAGCGGUGAAAUGCGUAGAGAUCAGGAAGAACACCGGUGGCGAAAGCGCUCUGCUAGGCCGCAACUGACACUGAGGGACGAAAGCUAGGGGAGCGAACGGG